UACGAAGGGGGCUAGCGUUGCUCGGAAUCACUGGGCGUAAAGCGCACGUAGGCGGCUCGCUAAGUCAGGGGUGAAAUCCUGGAGCUCAACUCCAGAACUGCCUUUGAUACUGGCAAUCUCGAGUCCGGGAGAGGUGAGUGGAACUGCGAGUGUAGAGGUGAAAUUCGUAGAUAUUCGCAAGAACACCAGUGGCGAAGGCGGCUCACUGGCCCGGUACUGACGCUGAGGUGCGAAAGCGUGGGGAGCAAACAGG
rnacentral:rRNA from 1 species